GGCUCCCACCUGCUUUCUUCUGCUUUCUUCCUCUAAUAAACCUUAAAUUCUCUAUUUAAACCAUGACUCGCUGCGUUUGUGUGGAUUCUUGAAUGGCUCUGAACCUAACAUUUGGUGCCAAAGACCCAGGAUGGAGGUUUGACUGAGGUUUAAGUUUCCUGGCCCCUCAGGGCAAUGGGGCAGCCUCCCAGUCAACUCCGUUCCCCGAACUACACAGCCGUUCAGGUUUCCAUGCAUUCAGCAGCUUGAGUCCAUCAACUCAGAUCACCUUGAUGCAAUGCCGGCUCACCCUCACGGCUCUCAAAUCUCUACAACUAAUUCAGCCCUAGCUACCCAGAAAUCUUCCUAGAGUACCAGGACUCGGAAGUCCAGGUGAAAGUUGACUGCUGCAGGCAGGCGCCGAAUGCAUCUGAGUUGAGGUAGCUUUACAGUUGGGACUUUUUCCCUGUGCUUGUACUGCAACAUCAGUAUCCUACAACUAGCUUGAAAUAUCGGAAGAAAUGUAAAAUCUUAUUAAUCCUGUAUUCCUCUUUUAUUCUCACACAAAAACUUUACAUGGGUUAAAAGCUAAGAAAAUAGAGCAGAAGGAGACACAUUGCAAGUCACUUUCUAACUGAAACGUGACUUGUCAGAUGUCACUUUUGCUACUUGAUGAAAGAUGCACAUUUUUCUUUUCCUCUCCAGUAAGAAUUAUUUUUUUUUCUUCCAAUAAAUUUCCUACUGUGAGAGUAUUAGGGCUGAUCUACAGGAGCAGAACAAACCCAUUUAGGCCAUUUAGACAAUGCAAUAUGCUUGUCACAGCUAAAGUCUGUGAACCAGCUAAUGAUUUGCAAUUUAGCAAGAUAUGCCUAUUUGGACACCCAAGUUCUCAACUUAAUAGUUUAUUUAUUUCAGCUAAGGUUGCUGUUCUCAUUAGGAGCGCUCAGCCCAUCAAAUGGGUGUUAAAAACACAAAACAAAACACAAAUGAGCUUUGGGAACCAAAGAAUCAACACAAGCCUGGACUAUCACUCUGUCGACCUCAGGGUUGUAAUGUUUAUGUGUUUUCAAUACACAAAGAGCUCUCGUGAGGCCCUGACCAUCAAUCAUCUUCAGCAUUGACACAAAGACCUGAGUUCUUUAACAAAGGUUGUAGCUGUUUAAUGUUGGUGCACAUUAGUAGGUUCACAGUGGAGGGUCUGAAGAAGCCCACAAGGUAGAUGCCCUGUUUCUGUGAACAUCGCCAAGUCAGGUGAUAAUAUCUAGCUGGGCGGGGAUUGAGAGACUUGGAUGACUGCAGGUAACCUUUAAGGGAGAGUUGUGCAAUUAAGAAGAGCUCAUAACAGAUGAGUAGGUCUCAGGAAUCUUGCCUGCUUUGUGCAGCAAAAAGAAUAUUUCCUACCUUCUGGAGAGGAGACGCUGACAUCUUACACAAAAAGAGAAGCUGUGAUCACUUCAGAAGUCUUCAUUUCAGGGAUUAGAAGAUUGUAUGCUCUUUUGAGUCCAAGUACGGGUUGAUUCAGGGAUUCCAGCUUCCUUGCAAACAAGAAAGUAAGCUGUGAUCAUACAAGCCCAGAGAAAAAAUGAGGAGGCGAAGAGAAGAAAGAAAAAACCCAGUGAGCUGGAAGGUUCCCAAGGAGAGGGACUGCCCAAGGACUGACUGGAAAACGCUUGUUCAAGUGCCCUUGCUCCCUGGCCAGUGCUGCUUCUCUAGGCUCAUGUGGUGCAUGUAAUGAGCCUUUUCUUUCUGCAGUGAAAUCAAACAUGCCCAAGGCUCGAGUCUGGACUGGGAUAUAACUCCUAAAACAUGAAAAUCCUUUCUUCACAUGAGCAAGAUCUUCCCAGGCCACCUGUGUUGGCUGGGUGAAACUCCAAAGCAUUCCUGAUUUAAAGAGUCAAAAGGUCUCUCCCCUCAAGGAUAGUUGAUAAAACUGAACAAAUAGAGAAAGAAAGAAGAAAUCUAUUAGACACAUAAAGCAAGUAAAAUAUAUUAGACUCUCCUCUGGAAGAAGAGUACCCCAAGUAUGAAUGAUGAUUUUUUUUCCUUAAGCCCCAUUCAUCAGUUACUCAAAAUUAUGCCACAUUAUAGUUUGCUUUAUAUUUAGAUUACUUUCAUGCACAACUAUUUGUUUUCCCCAGAGUUGGAAAAUACCUUUUAAUUUUAUAUAUUUAUUUGUAAAUAGAAAAUAUAUUCACAAAAGGCACAAAAAGGUUACAGCCAAAGGUUUUCUCUCCCCCCCAUCUUUUUCUACCCAGAGGAGACUAAUAUGAUUAUCUGGAAUCCUUACAGAUAUAACCGAUUUAUUUUACAUGACGGGUAGCAUUACUAGAUUAUACAAAGUUCUGGGACCUUUUUUUUUUUUUUAACUUAGAAAAAUGUUUUGGAGAUUAUCCCAUAGCAGAUAAUAAAGAGAUUUUCCUCUCUUUUUUCAUGACACAGUCCAUUGCACCAUACUUGAGCCCGUUUCCCCUUGCUGGGUAGAUUGCUUCCAAUCUUCAGCUGUUACAAACAGUGGUGCAGUGAACAAAUGUAUACAGGAAAUUUGUAUAAACUUGUGUGAGAAUAGAAGUGGAAUCAUUGGGUCAAACAACAUGUGUCUUUGCAAUUUUAAUGAUUAUUUGGAUUUUCUCAGAUCUCCCUCCAUAGAAGUGGUAUGAACUUACACUCCCACCAGUGAUGUAUGAGAGUGAUUGUCUCAUCAGACUGUCACCCACUCACUGUAUUAUCAAUUGUUUAUCUUGCUAGCCUUUUUGUUCCAAGCCUUUACUCAGUCUUCAAUUAGGUUGUCAGAUUUUUUUUUUUUUUUUUUUAAAUGAUGACAUGAGUGCUCUCUCUGUUUUAUGGAUGUUUUGGGGGGUAAUACUUUAGAAAGGCCUGCCCCAUUCUGCAAUUAUAUAAAAAAUGUUCUCCAAGAGCUUAUUCUAAUAUUUUUAUAGUUUUGUUUCUUACUCCAUCUAGAAUUUAUCCUGAUUUAAGAAUGUCCCAACAGCAUUUACUGAAUUGUCUCUUUCCCCCUGUGCUGGUUUGGAUGUAUUAUGUCCCCCCCAAACGCCAUGUUCUUUGAUGUAGUCUUGUGGGGGCAGACAUAUUUAGUCUUGAUUAGGUUGGAACCUUUGGAUAAUUCUGAUUG